ACAUGCCUACAACAUAGCACUAAUGCAUCAGAUCCCAUUAGAACUCUGUAGUUAAUCAUGCUCGUGCUAGAGUAGUACUGGGAUGGGUGACCACCUAGGAAGUCCUAGUGUUUUACAUGCC
rnacentral:rRNA from 1 species